UCGAAUCGUCUGAGUCUUUUUGAAGAGUAAUAAACUCGUCAAUACUACUCAUAAAGAUACUUCUACUGCACUGAAACUGCWCUUAAUUCACGUGAAAGAGGACAUUACUGUUUUUAGAGGUUACAAUGGCAUCGGAGAAAGAAACGUAAAUCARAGAAAUCAAGCGAUGCUUUAUAUGGCUGUCCUUCAUUUAAGUUGCCCAACUUAUUGCCCAACUUACGCCGAAAGUCCACUGCCUGAGUCAUUAAUAUUUGCAAAGAAGAUGACCAURCAAACCCAUUGAAGGUUUUUGUUCUGAUAAUAACUUUGGGCUACCUGUGGUCGUUGCACCUACUUAUCGUCUUAUAGGAAUCUGACGAGAACAAGUUGACCAKUAGUUUAGCAUGAGUACAUUUGAAAGAAAUCUUGGAAACCAACCACCACCCCCUGAUGGGACCGAGGGAACCACCUCCAUCAAACUUACUCUUAAAGAUGAGAAUGAACCACUKGURCUGRAUGGCUGUUUUAUUCGUAAUGAUGAGAAUUUUAGGAAAUUAAUCAAUGAUUAUAACUACAUCACUAAACAUAAGGACACAAAGUAUUUUACAUAUUUCUGCUGUUUUUAUGAAAACUUGAAAAACCAUUUGGUCAAAACUGAAAUAAACUUUCACCUUCACCGACUUUCUAAACCAGAUCUGGAUAAAAGCUGUACCUUAAUCAAUGAGCCAAAGAAUACUUUCUUUCAACAUGAAGGAUGUCAUGUUUUUUUGCCUGCUUGCCAUGAARACCUACGCAAAAGGGACAUUAGGAAGUUUUUAGACAUUCACUCUAAGUCAGUGCAAUCUGAGACUCACGAAAUCGUAAAUGGAAAAUACAAGGGAUUUGCUAAAGUCAAUGGUUUAAUCAAAUUUGUAGAAAUUGCCAUGAAAUCAUGCACAAACAGACUAGUCCUGAGCGAUAACAUUUUCAACAAGUUGGUCAAUGGCCCACUCAUGUAUUCUGAUAAAGUAGUUGGAUAUUAUUACAAAGAUCCAGAUGGUAGCAAAAUAACCGUUAACAUGCUUGCAACUCGAGGUAUGAUGAUCUUCUCUUUAUUGACAUAAAUUAUCAGACUCAUUAAUAAUUCAUGAGCUAUUUAUCCAAUGGGGAUCGAUUGUUAGGUCACAUUAUUGAGUCUUUAAAACCUCUGAUAAAACAUUGAUUGGAAGAACAUAAUC